rnacentral:rRNA from 1 species
GACGUAGGGCGCGAGCGUUGUCCGGAUUUAUUGGGCGUAAAGAGCUCGUAGGCGGCCAGUUGCGUCUGCUGUGAAAUCCCGGGGCUCAACCCCGGGCGUGCAGUGGAUACGGGCUGGCUAGAGGCAGGCAGGGGAGAACGGAAUUCCCGGUGUAGCGGUGAAAUGCGCAGAUAUCGGGAGGAACACCGGUGGCGAAGGCGGUUCUCUGGGCCUGUACUGACGCUGAGGAGCGAAAGCGUGGGGAGCGAACAGG